rnacentral:lncRNA from 1 species
CCAUUGUGGGCAUGAUUCUCUCUAGACCUUCCUUGUGUCUUUUGUCCUCACCCAAAAGAAGGAUCUGUAGGAGCUAAGUUUAGCUUAAGCACAGAAAUCACUUUGAAGCAGGUAGGGUUACCUGCUUCAAAUGAGCUACCUGGGCCACCCUGCCCAUACCUCAGGGCCUUCCUCUUGCCUCAGCUGGGGCCACUCGACACUUUCCUGCCCCUCUGUGUCUUUUCAGGAACCAGAAAUGCCUAGCUGCAGGGAUUCAGCAUGAAGCUGGCCAGCUUGCAGGGCUUGGACCCAGAAAUGAGCCCAGGUCCCCAGAUGCCCUACCUUGGGCCAACGAGCCCUGCUGCUAUCUUGCUCCAACCAGCCAGAGGCUCAGAGGCAAAAUGCCCCACCUCCAACACUGAAGAUCACUUUUCCACAUGCUGUUUGGAAGGAACGAACAUCCAAAUUUGAUCGCUCUGUCUCCACCAUUUUCGUCAUAGCCAAGCCACCAACCUCAGGACACCCAGACCCUGGAGCCAGCCCUACACUUACUCCCUGUGUGCCGUUGGGCAAGUAACUCUCAGGGCCAUAUCCCCUCAUAUAUAAGCCAAAAAAGAGUAACAAUAGCUCCCUUAUGAGAUUGUUGUGAAAACGUAAGCGUGGUUGGACAUAGGAACCGGUAUAACGAGUCUUAUCACUAUCCAACUCGGUGCUGUGCAACAGAAACAUAAUUUGUGAUGGGAGCUACACAUGAAGUUUUCAGUGCUCCAGUAGCACAUUAUUUAAAACAAAAAAAAAGUGGAAUUAAUUUUAAUGAUAUAUUUUAUUUAAGCCAACAUAUACAAAAUUUUAUUUAAAAAAUAUAAUCCAUAUAACAAUGCAAGUGAGAUAUUUUUAUUGUGCCGAGUCUGAAAUCUGGUAUUUUAUACUCACAGCACCUGGGACUAGCCACAUUUCAGGUAUUCAAAAGCCACAUGUGGCCAGCGGAUACUACAUUCAGCACAGGUCUGAGUAUUUGCGAUGCUUCCCUUCUUCCUGUACAGCAGUUUCUCAACCUCUGCACCACUGACAUUUUGGGCAAGCAGUGGAGACAAAAUCUGAACCCAGAGUAUAUAUAGAAAGAGCCACAGGCUGGAGUACAGUUGAAACGCUUGAAACAACCAGCUCCCAAGUGAACUAAGAGCAAGAACUCACUCAUUACGGUGGGAAGGCCAUGGAGCAUUCAUGUGGGAUCUGCCCCUAUGACCCAAACAUCUCCCACCAGGCCCCACCCCCCACACUGGGGAUCACAUUUCAACUGGAGAUUUGGAGGGAAUGAACCCUGGGUUCAGUGACCCAGGCUUUUUCUAAAGAGCAGGACCCAGGGGACACGAGCAUCCAGAGCAGAGUUUCUCAGCCUCAGCAUUAUUGACAUGUGAGACCAGAUAAUUCUUUGUUGGGAGUGGAGGGCUGUCUGUCCUGUGCCCUGCAGGGUGUUUAGCAGCAUCCCUGGCCUCUACCCACCAGCUGCCAGUAGCGUCCCCACCCCCACCCUCUGUUGACCUUGCUGAGUAUCCCCAGUUGUUGUGAGGAUAACACCUGGUUGCAAAGCAUUGUUCUAGAGUCUCUUCUGGGUUAGUUCCUGGAAUGCUUCUGACUGCAUUGAGGAAAAAGUCCAGACCCCUCACAGUGGGUGACCAAAUUCCAAGAUCUGGCCCCUGCCUCCUGAGUGGAUCCCCUCUUCCCUUUUCUGCACCCCCCAGUCCUCCUAGCCUCCUUGUUUAGUUCCUGGACAAGGCCAAGUUCCUUCAGUGCAAUCUUAUCUCAGCUGGUCCCUUGACUUGCCCUUGAUGCUUACUUCUGUCCUUGAUGCUUACGUUGCUGAUUCCUUCAUAUCACUCAGGUCUCAGCUUGAGGCUCAGUGAGUCUCACCGAUACCUAAGCCCCGCCCCUAAAUCUAACAUCACCUUUCACCCACUAUCCAUCCUGGGGUUGAAGUCUCUGCAUGCUGUCUGAUAAUUUUUCUAGGUUGCUACUGUCUGACUCUUUCCUCUAAGACACAAGCUCCAGAACCACAGUGACCUUGUCUAUCUUGAUAUCACUCUCUUCCCAGCAACCAAAAGAGUGCCAGGCACUGGGUAGGUGAUCUCAAUUAACAUUUGUUGAAGGAACCCACGCCCUUUCUGCACUGGCCUCUGGGUCUCAGGCUCACGGUCAACAAAGCCUCCCCCAUGCAACCAUGCCAGAAAUCUCCCUUGAUUUUCAAGUAUUUGGUCAGAGUUGCUGCCUCUCCAGUUCUGCUUGGCAGACUGCUAUAUAAAGCAAUUCAGGUUCUGCUCCAUUCAAUGGCACCCUA